rnacentral:lncRNA from 10 species
GCUGGGAUUACAGGCGUGAGCCACUGCACCCAGCCAACUUCACCUAGAUUUUAGAAGACGGAGACAUCCUGAUCAUACCAAGACAAGAAUACAGUUCCAUAGACCUUACUGGCCUAGUGUGUUUCCAGGAAGUCUGGAACUUCCUGGGUGGACCUCCUGCCUUUACCACGACUUCUUCCAAGGAGAAAGCUAGAACUCAAGCCCAGUUCAACUCUGUGUUUUCCUUUCUGCCCUUGGAUACCUUCCUACCAGUCUUGCUCAAUUUGGGCACUCCUGACAUUUUGGACUGGAAAUUUUUGUUGCUGUGGGGGGCUGUCCUGUGCAUUGUGAGGGGCUGUCCAGAAUCCCUGGCCUCUACACCAAAUUGCUAGCAGUCGUCACUCCCCGUCUCAGUUGUGACAACAGAAAAUGUCUACAAACAUUGCCAAAUGUUUGGGGGAGGUAGAAGGAGAAGGUAACAACAUUGGCCUGGUUUGAGAGCCACUAAACCAAACCAGCCAUGGAAUAGAUGCCGUGGAGUCUAGCCGUGAACUGUUGUCCAGGAGGCGGCUGGGGAGGAAUUCACAAAUGUUCCCAGCACAGGAUCUGGCAAUUUCUGUGUAAACUUUUCUUCCAGUGAUAUUUAAUUUUUUUAUCAUCUCCAAAUGGUAAUCGUUUGCAAAUUAAGUGGUGUUUAUCCUCCUGGCUAUGAACUCUUAACAGAGUGCAGGAGCUUUUUUGUUUUGUUUUCUUUUGGUGUGUAUGUGUGUGUUUUCUGGUCUGCACGGUUCUCAGUCCCUCAGAACCAUUUAUUUCCUUUUAUUGUUGUUUUCCUCACUUGGCUUCCCCGCUCCACCAGACAGGCUUAAUAACUGGCAAUCAUCACAUCGCAGGGCAAAGCAGUCGGCAGCCACCCCCGCAACGGAGGAAUCAGAGCCUGAAUGCUCUGGAACUAUUGCCUCUUUUGUUUUUCCAGGCAGACUCCAGUUUUGUCUCUUGACUAUCCCUGAAUAAAGAGAAUCUUAAAACAUCAUGUGGCUGCAAAUGGCUUCACAUAAGCUGGAAGGAGCAAUAAACAGGAAGUCCACAGCAAAGGAGAAAUAAAAAUGAUCAGUCAAUUAGGCUGUGAGAAUGACUUCACUGAGCGCCCCCCCACCUCCACCUCCAAGGCAUCUUUGGAGGAAACUGGGCUGCAUUAAUCAGGCCUGGGCAGGCAGGCCCCAGAGCAGAGCUGCCAGGAGGGAAGGCCUGCAGUGAGCCAGCGAUGGGGAGUGAGUGCCACACCACUUCCAGAGCCAAAGAUCUGCCAGGAGGGGCAGGACAAUGUGGCCCACAUGCGGUGAGCAAAUCAUCCAGCCAAGUUGCAAAACUUCCAUGACACUCUUUUAUCCUGUCCUGGGGUGGGAUGAGAGGCCCCACGAUGAGGAAUGAACACAAUUGCCCCGGUGCUGCAGCCCACACCUGGCUGCUCUGGUGACACUCUGGACUCUCACAUUCAGACAGGACCCCCCACAGUGUUCUUGAGCCAUCUUGGCCCCGAGAGUCCCAUGUCUAGGGAACUUGCUGCCCUUCCCAGCCACCACCAGUGCCUAUGGCUUAUAUGCCCAGGUAUCCUGACCCAGUGAUGCCCCUCCAGAGCAGGAAUCAUCACCACGAUAAGUUAGGCCCGGCUCCACCCUACCCAGGAGGCCUUCCUGAAAACAGCAUCACAGAGAAUUCGGAGGACAACAUAGCUACUGCUUUGAUGUCGGGCUUAAAGAGAAAGCAUGCCUCCUAAAGCAGAGAGAGAGGAGAGAAAGAGAUAAUCAGCCUCUCGGUGUCUCAUUUCAUGAAGAGGGUCAGAUUGUACAAAUGGGGAGUUAAAUAAAAAAGGAUGUAGGAGGAGGUUCAAACUAAUUUGAGGUCAGAAAAGUGAGAAACAUAUUUUUAGUUUCUAAGACCACCUAAAGAAGGCAGGGUAGUCCAGGCGUGGUGGCUCACUUCUGUAAUCCCAGCACUUGGGGAGGUUGAGGCGGGAGGAUUGCCUGAGCUCAGGAGUUUGAGACCAGCCUGGGCAACAAGGUGGAACCACAUCUCUAAAAAAAAAAAAAAAAAAUAGCCAGGUAUGGUGGUGCAUGCCUAUAGUUCCAGCUACUUGUGGGGCUGAGGCGGGAGGCUCUCUUGAGCCCAGGAGAUCAAGGCUGCAGUGAGCCAAGAUCAUGCCACUGCACUCCAGCCUGGGUGACAGAGCAAGACUGGGUCUCAAAAAAAAAAAAAAAAAAAAAAACCAGGGUAUACCACAUGUAGAAUAUUAUGAUUUAAAAGUAGUUCCCUCUCCAAUCCUAGUUCCUCUAGUCCAUCUUAUUUUAUUUAUUUAUUUAUUUAAGAAUGAGUUUCGCUCUUGUUGCCCAGGCUGGAGUACAGCAACACCAUCUCAGCUCACUGCAACCUCUGCCUUCUGGGUUCAAGCGAUUCUCCUGCCUCAGCCUCCCACGUAGCUGGGACUACAGGCACCCACCACCAUGCCUGGCUAAUUUUUGCAUUUUUAGCAGAGAUGGGGUUUCACCAUGUUGGUCAGGCUGGUCUCGAACUCUUGACCUCAGGUGAUCCACCCACCUCAGCCUCCCAAAGUGCUGGGAUUAUAGGCGUAAGCCACCACACCCGGCCUAGUCCACCUUAUUUUAUUGUGGCUACACUGUAAAUCCAUUCUGGAAGUGGCCAGGGUCAUGUCUCUAUACUAGGGGUUCAGCUGCAGAUAGUGGGGAGCAUUUCCAAGGAGGCCUGAGAGAAGGCAGGUGUUAUGCAUGAUGCAAAACAGCAGGGUGAUGGCAGAGCUCUGACCUCAAUGCUCCUGAACUAGAGGUGGUCGUUAGGACUAGGUUGUUUUCCAACAGCUGACACCCCUGUGAUUGGACCAAAGAGUUAGAUAUUUUAACCUAGUGUGUAAACGUGGUUAAUCUCCGGCUUCUGUUUAAGCAAUGGCCCAUCUUCCUGGAAACAUUCCUGCUCUCUGAGCCCUGGGAUCUUGGAAUAGAACCACUUGCCGGAAGUGGCCAUUGCUGCUCCACCACUGUAGAAAAAUCUCCUGCCCAGGUGCCCAGGCUUCUCUGUUUUAUCAGCUGCUGCAAGAUUCUCCAUCACCUCCCCAAGCAGACCCAGCAGGAAUCCAACCAUUGCAAGCCUAUCACUUUUCAACAACGUGGACACUUACAUGGUAAGACUAGAUCCACGUUAUGCUGGAGUGAGGAGAGGCUCAGUAAAGCUUCCUAUCUCCCAGAGAAGCUAUGUGCUGAGAACUGACCCAGCCAGUUGUCCUGGACAGUAAGUGAAUCAAUCGGUAGAAGCCUCUGCUAUGCGCCUGGGCUCUGUGUUCAGUACUGUAGUUUAUACGAAAGAAGCCAAGAAAGAUGUGGUCCUGCCGUCCGUGAAGUUGCACCCUAGUCUAACUCACAAGACUAACGAACAUGUGGGCUGAGAUCAUACGAUAAGGCCGCAUGACCAUUCUGGCCUUCGGUAAACCCAAGCCUGAACAUAUAUCUAAAGCUAUGGUGCUUCGUUAAAUAAUACUGCACAUUGUUAUUUAACUUUUCUUCUAUGUCUUGUACCACCAUAAGGUCAUAAAUUCCUCUAAAGUAGGAAGCACAACUUACCCUUUUUAGGGUCUCAUGCAUCCCCCCACCCCCUACAGCUUUCAGCACAGGUGCUUGUGAUGUUGUUACUGGAUGCUCUGGUGAGUAUAAUUGCGUGAAACACAAUAGAAUUGCAAUAGGAGUUUGUGUACGGGAGUAAUCUGGGUGGGCUGGGGUAGUUGGAGAGGGAGGCUUCCCUGGAACUACAAAGGGCAAUUGACAGUAAAAAUACCACAGUUUUUUUUUCUUUUCCUUUUGAAAGUAGUGAUUAAAGACAACAUUUAAAAAACUGUAAAAGUGUAAAUAUUCAUUAUAGAAACAUGUCAAAUGAAGAAAAAUAUAAAGAAGGAGAUUCAAAUCACGGGUAAUUUCAUUCCCAGAAUGAGUGAGCUCACAGAAUACAUAAUUAUCAACUGUAACAAGUGCAGUGAAGAAAGAGACCAGCAAGAGAAUAAAUCUGAGAGACCUGAUCUAGAAUAGAGGAGGCCUCUCCCAGGAUGCAACAUUGAAGCUGAGACCUGAAGGAUGAGCAGGGCUGAGAUGGAUGAAGAGAGAGAGAAGCACAUAACAGGAGAGACAGCUUUUCACUAUGUUGGCCCAGAUGGUCUCGAACUCCUGACUUCAAGUGAUCCACCUGCCUUGGCCUCCCAAAGUGCAAGGAUUACAGGCGUGAGCCACCGCACCUGGCCGCAUUUAUGAUUUCUUUGUUACAAACAUUACAAUUAUACUCUUUUAGUUAUUCUUUAAAUGUACAAUAAAUUGUUGACUGCAGUCUUCCUGUUGUGCUAUCAAAUACUGGAUCGUAUUCAUUUCUUUUACCUAUAUUUUGUACCCAUUAAUCAUACCCACUCCCCUGCACCCUGCCUCCAAUUUAAGUAAUUUUUAACAGCCUCAGAGACAGGCAAAAUGUAUCUUCAGGACUCUUCAUUCCCCUCAAGUAUCUCGGGUCCUCAUUCUGGUCCCCUAUUUAAUCACCCUCUCUGAAUCCCCUUCCCCCGAUAUUACCUUUCCUAGGGGAUAAUGGUUCAAUGGAGGAUAAUGGUUUAAUGGGUUUUUUAGUCUCUCUCCCUAUCUACCCUCUCACCAUAUCUGUAUUUUAACCGGGCUUUCUGGUGACAAUACUGUGCCUCUAGAGGAACUGUCUGAAUUGUGGGGAUUUGAGGCAGCAACUUGGCAGGCUGUUGAGGGGAUAAGAGGGUUGCAUUUGGGGAGCGGGUAUACCUCUCAAAUCCCCAUUCUGCAGACAGUCACCUACACAUGAGCAUUCCCUGCUGAGAAGCUGGCUGGAGCUUCUUUUGGCUGCGCCUCCCAUCUCCUGCCGUAGUCUGGCAGGCAUGAGCAGGAACGUGGGCAAAAGCCUUGCUUCCCUGUUCGGAGCAGAGCAUUAACUGUUCUGUGUUGUUGGCUGAGAACAAUUAGUGCAGGUUUCUCUGGGUAACUGGGUGAAACACAGGCCCUGUGCAUAAUUCUACGUGCUCACCCCUUGCCUGCAUAUGACUAUUUUCAAACAAAUUUCCCAUCCAGAAGUGCUCAGCUUCUCAGAGAGCCCCCAUGCCUGGCUUCUUGCUCUGGCCCUCCACCGAGCUGGGACGCAGCUGGAUUGCAAUUCCAUGGCCGUCCACUUCCUGCUGCUCCACGCUGGACUGUGGUCAUCCUCGUGCUAAGGAAGGUCACGGGCUUGUUAAUUAGCUGGAAAGCAAAGACAGACAGGAUACAAAUGUUCCUAGAAAGAAACUAGCAUAGUGUGACGUCAGUACUGUUUUCAACUUUUAGCUGCUACCCUUUCCUGUUUCCUGAGGACAUUUCAACAUGACUUCGAGCACAGUUAAAGUGAACUGCCAAGGUUAAGCGAGCUUUCCUUCCUUACGGAAUCUCCCAGCCCCUAAUUCUAUAAUACUACUCGCUUAGUUUGGCUGUGGUGAAACCCACCUUGUCCUCUACUAAAGAUAUGGAACGAAGACCUCGUCAGUCAAUCUUCCAUGAUCCCGGCCACCGCAAUUGGCUCAGGUCGUUGCUGCCAUGAAGUAAGAGUCUGUCUGGAAAUGAAGGCGAGCAGAGGCCACAAAGCUGAGACAUGGAGACAGAGAGAGUCCUGAUGUUAUUAUUUGAACCAUUGAGUCCAGCUGUGCCUGAAACUCUUCAGCUGACUGGGCGCGGUGGUCCGUGCCUGUAAUCCCAGCACUAUGGGAGGCUGAGACGGGUGGAUCACUUGAGAGCAGGAAUUUGAGACCAGCCUGGCCAAGAUGGUGAAACUCCAUCUCUACAAAAAUACAAAAAUUAGCCAGGCAUGGUGGCAUGCACCUGUAAUCCCAGCUACUCAGGAGGCUGAGGCAGGAGAAUCGCUUGAACCCGGGAGGUGGAGGUUGCAGUGAGCCGAGAUUGCACCACUGCACUCCACCGUGGGUGACAGAGUGAGAUGCUGUCUCAAUAAAAUAAAAUAAAACAAUUAAUUCUCCCUAGGCUGCAGCAAGAAUCGAAUGAAUCACUCUUAACCCCAUGCCAAACAAACAAACAAACAAACAAAAAAACCCUACUUGUUGGUUGUGGGCCUUAAAAAGAGAGCUGUAUAGAAGUGGCAAAAAUUAAGUUUGUGUAUCCUUGCUUGGGUCAAAUUUGGCUGUCCAUAGAUAUGAGGUUAAUUUUUUCCUGUUAGAGCAUGUGCUGGUUCUAUCUAUACAUGCUCCAAUUUUCAAAUAUUUCACUAAUAUUAGGAGAUUAUCUGUUGGCAUUGAGUUGGGUCUCAAAGUAUCAUCUAUUCUAGACCAAUGGUCACCAAAAUGUAUGUAUCCUCAAAAUAAAGCACUGGU